GACGAACGCUGGCGGCGCGCUUAACACAUGCAAGUCGAGCGAGAACCAGGGCUUCGGCCCUGGGGACAGCGGCGAACGGGUGAGUAACACGUGGAUAACCUGCCCUCGGCACCGGGAUAGCCCGGGGAAACUCGGAUUAAUACCGGAUAGCCCUUUCGGCUUUCGAGCCGGUCGGAAAAGGUAGCUUCGGCCUCUGGCCGAGGAUGGGUCCGCGGCGGAUUAGCUUGUUGGUGGGGUAAUGGCCUACCAAGGCACCGAUCCGUAGCUGGUCUGAGAGGACGAUCAGCCACACUGGGACUGAGACACGGCCCAGACUCCUACGGGAGGCAGCAGUGGGGAAUCUUGCGCAAUGGGCGAAAGCCUGACGCAGCGACGCCGCGUGAGGGA
rnacentral:rRNA from 1 species